GAUGAACGCUGGCGGCGUGCCUAAUACAUGCAAGUCGAGCGAACAGACGAGGAGCUUGCUCCUCUGACGUUAGCGGCGGACGGGUGAGUAACACGUGGAUAACCUACCUAUAAGACUGGGAUAACUUCGGGAAACCGGAGCUAAUACCGGAUAAUAUAUUGAACCGCAUGGUUCAAUAGUGAAAGACGGUUUUGCUGUCACUUAUAGAUGGAUCCGCGCCGCAUUAGCUAGUUGGUAAGGUAACGGCUUACCAAGGCAACGAUGCGUAGCCGACCUGAGAGGGUGAUCGGCCACACUGGAACUGAGACACGGUACAGACUCCUACGGGAGGCAGAAGUAGGGAAGCUUCCGCAAUGGGCGAAAGCCUGACGGAGCAACGCCGCGUGAGUGAUGAAGGUCUUCGGAUCGUAAAACUCUGUUAUUAGGGAAGAACAAAUGUGUAAGUAACUAUGCACGUCUUGACGGUACCUAAUCAGAAAGCCACGGCUAACUACGUG
rnacentral:rRNA from 1 species